CUCUCAUGCACUGGAUAUUGUUGAUGAGGGAUUCAAUGCAAGGUGCCAUGUAAUCCAUCAUUUUUCUUUCACCUUCAGUAAGGAUCUUCUCCAAAGUGGAGAAUUAAGAAGCUUAUGUGGCACACCAGAUGCCAACAACAUGGACGAACUUACGAAACUUGGCAACUCCAUCAACAUGGACGAACUUGGCAGCUCAUUUUUAUAAAUGGUGAAAAUUGCACUGACCCUUGUACUAGUCCAUUGGCCAAUCUGCUCCAUCCACUUUCCCCUUGUUCAAGGGUGUGAGGACUCCUUUGUGGAACUGGGAAAGUAGCGCUUAGUAAAAGAAAUGUGAGUGCUUGAAAUCAAAACAGAAGCUGAGGUGGAUAUGAUCGAGAGCAUCAAGUUCCUGGGAGUGGCGAUAACCAACAAUCUGUCCUGGAUCACUGACGGAAAUGUGAGGAUCAAGGAGGGUUCCAACAAGGGAUACGUUUGAGUGAAACUGGAAAAGAGGACCUUCACCUAAGGGUCGGACUCGAGACCAAUCGGCCCACAAGAUUGCAGCAUUGAACACAUAGUACCGAAAUCAUCAAACUCUAAGGCACCAAUUGCCAGGAGACUGGCCACCUGUAUAUUUCCGAUGCAAUCCUCUCCUAUCCGACCGUCUGCCACCGAUAGAAAUACCUUUACACGAUUCCUGUAUUCAGUAGCCUGCUGUAAUGAACAAGAUAAGCUGGAAAGAUGAAGAAAGACCAAAAAUACUAUGCCCUGUCAAUUCUCUUUCUGUUAUUAAUAGUUUCUUUAUUCAAGCUAAACCCCUGAUCCAUGUGUCAUCUGCUCACUCUUCCGUCAUUCUGAUGUGCAGUGAUAUGAGUAGGACACACCUACUUAUGCAAUCCCUCAUUUUUGAUGGAAAAGCCCAUUCGAUUUAAUACACUUGGACACUAGAUGAUUGCUAGCACCCACUGUUUACAAGAUUCAGCUCUCGAUUUGAGUGGACUAGUCAUUCACUCACAGAAGUGCUCCUUUGGAACUCCUUUUAGCCUUGCAAAAACAAAGCUUACCCAUAGUUAACCAAUGACUGGUACAGACAUUGUGCCCUAGUACACACCGUACCACUGUUCACCAUCCACCAUGAAGUACCUGAAGUAGAUGAUGAAUGGAACGUCCACCAACAUUUGAAUCAGUACAGAACAAAAAGUAGAGAAAAAACAAAACGGGUCUUACACAACUGCUUCCAGCAACAAAUCUGGUGGUACAAGUUGCUGUGAGGUCUUAUUCCUGAGUUGGGUGUUGAAAUAGCCCUAGAUCAGAUAAGUGACCUUGCGUAUGAUUUCGAAAAACUUUUCAACUCAACUGCCCACGCUUUGAAGCUGGUGAACGAAGAGUUACAGGAGACCCGAAUGGUGAUGAUUCAGAAUUGGUUCGUGCUAGAUUACCUCCUUGUUAAAGUGGCCUGAAAUGUUGUGCCAUAUCAAUGAGUUCUCGAAAGACAUUUUGGACGAUACAAAUGUUAACAACAAAACGGGUCAAGAUUCAGUGAAG